rnacentral:tRNA from 1 species
GAGGGUACAGCUCAGUGGCAGAGCACAUGCUUAGCAUGCACAAGGUACUAGGUUCAAUCCCCAGCACCCCCA